AGGUCCCAUCGUAGAAUAAGAAAGGUUUCUCAUUUGCUGUGGACAUGACCAUAAAGAAAAAUUCUCAUUAGGUUUUCCAUAUGCUACUUGGAUAGCAGUUAACCUGUUGGGAACAUUU
ensembl:snoRNA LOC120093426 small nucleolar RNA SNORA32